GCCAACCAACUCUAGUCAUCACGUGGCUCACUUUCCACCACAUACAAUUCAUCCUUAUCUCUUCACAAGGAGGGGAACCGGGACCCUUCUUCCUCCUCUGUCUCUUUGCUGCUUCAUUCUUUUCAUCUUGGCCAUAGAAAAAGCUCGCGCGCGUGCUGACUCCUUGGCACCGUCAAGCCGUCCACCACCACCACGCACAACCUUCUUCAAUCCUCGCGGCCAUGAGCUUCGACCCCCUCCCCCUUCCCCACCCAGUGAAUGGCGAUGUUACAUACACGCCGCUUUUUUGCUGGAACCAGCUACACAGAGAGCUACAACCAGCACCGCGGGGGAGCUGGAACCAGCCGUUCCAGAGCAGCGACGGCACAUGCCGUUUGCUGGAACCGGCAUUUCGGGGAGCUGCAACCAGCUUUGCGGAUAGCUGCAACCUGCAAGACUGCUAGCACCGGUGUGGCCGCCAUUUUUUGGGAGUGAUUGUUUUUGCUACAACUAGUCCAAAUUUUGUUACCACCAUCUUCGAUUUAUGCUAUCACCGUCUUUGAUUUUUGCUACCACCCUAUUUUUUCUAUUUUUUUGCUGGAUGUAUCUGGAACCACUUCAAUUUAUUUUGUUACCACUGCCUUUGAUUUGUGCUACCACCGUCUUCAUUUUUUGCUACCACCGUAUUUGAUUUUUUGCCAGAUCCAUCUUUUUUCAUGGAACCACUCCAAAUUUGCUACUGCCAUCUUUUUGUUUUGCUACCACUGUAUUUGAUUUUUGCUACCAUCCCCUUCUGAUUUUUUACUGGAACCAGAGAAUUUAUUUUGUUAUAACCAGCAAAUUUCUGUUGCUACCACAUCGUGUGCAAACGCUACAACGAUUAAUUCCAGCGGAAAAGCUGCAAACUGGAGGCCAAUUUUUUGCUGGACCCUACAAAUUGCUGCAUUGGGGGUGGCCCAGUGAGCACCGGUGCUACAACCGGCAAGCGGCUCCGGCGUGCGCUCCGACGAGCAACUCCGACGUGCACUCCAUCGAGCGGAUCCGGCGAGCAUGAGGACGAGCGGCUCUGGUGAGCUGCUAGCGAGGGCGGUCAGAGGUCAUGGAGUUGUACAUGAGCGAGGGUUUUUUUUUCUUUUUUUUAUCCGGAUCUGACGGUUACAUAUGGCUGUAUCCAACGCUGGGGCGUUGACCGGCCGAAAAUUUCGGCCGGCGCGCCGGCGCCUAGUAGUCGCCUAGGCCAAAGCUCCACCAGCAAUCAGCGCGCCAGAAACAACAGCGAGAGUCCUCCUGGUUCCACACGAGAGACAGUGAGGAGGCAAACACUGCAUUCCACGACGCAAUUGGAAAGAAUAGCAAGAAAAAAAAUAAGGGAGCAAACCUCUUGGAAGCCAGAAGCACCUGUCCGCGGUCCGUCAACUGCAGCAGCUGCAGAGACGGCAUGUCGCCGCCGCGAGAUGACCACCCCGAGAUCUCACGUACGGCAACAGCGCGGAAUCAGGGCGUCCCCCCCUCGACACGGAGCAUCGCUGCAACCGAAUUAGACACAAGAAAAAU
rnacentral:rRNA from 1 species